UCCUGGCUCAGGAUGAACGCUAGCGGCAGGCUUAACACAUGCAAGUCGAGGGGCAGCGGGGAGGAAGCUUGCUUUCUCCGCCGGCGACCGGCGCACGGGUGAGUAACACGUAUGCAACCUGCCCCUGUCAGGGGGACAACCCGCCGAAAGGCGGGCUAAACCCGCGUACAUGCCACCGGGGCAUCCCGGAGGCAGGAAAGGCUUCGGCCGGACAGGGAUGGGCAUGCGGCGCAUUAGGCAGUAGGCGGGGUAACGGCCCACCUAACCGACGAUGCGUAGGGGUUCUGAGAGGAAGGUCCCCCACACUGGUACUGAGACACGGACCAGACUCCUACGGGAGGCAGCAGUGAGGAAUAUUGGUCAAUGGUCGGGAGACUGAACCAGCCAAGCCGCGUGAGGGAGGAAGGUACAGAGUAUCGUAAACCUCUUUUGUCAGGGAACAAAGGCGGGGACGUGUCCCCGGAUGAGUGUACCUGAAGAAAAAGCAUCGGCUAACUCCGUGCCAGCAGCCGCGGUAAUACGGAGGAUGCGAGCGUUAUCCGGAUUUAUUGGGUUUAAAGGGUGCGCAGGCGGUCUGUUAAGUCAGCGGUCAAAGCCCGGGGCUCAACCCCGGCCCGCCGUUGAAACUGGCAGUCUCGAGUUGGAGAGAAGUAUGCGGAAUGCGCGGUGUAGCGGUGAAAUGCAUAGAUAUCGCGCAGAACUCCGAUUGCGAAGGCAGCAUGCCGGCUCCACACUAACGCUGAGGCACGAAAGCGUGGGUAUCGAACAGGGAUUAGAUACCCUGGUAGUCCACGCAGUAAACGAUGAAUGCUGGCUGUCCGGGGGGAUUGACCCCUGGGUGGCGAAGCGAAAGCGAUAAGCAUUCCACCUGGGGAGUACGCCGGCAACGGUGAAACUCAAAGGAAUUGACGGGGGCCCGCACAAGCGGAGGAACAUGUGGUUUAAUUCGAUGAUACGCGAGGAACCUUACCCGGGCUCAAACGGGGAGUGACUCAGGCAGAGACGCCUGUUUCCCACGGGACACUCCCCGAGGUGCUGCAUGGUUGUCGUCAGCUCGUGCCGUGAGGUGUCGGCUUAAGUGCCAUAACGAGCGCAACCCCCGCGUGCAGUUGCUAACAGAUAACGCUGAGGACUCUGCACGGACUGCCGGCGCAAGCCGCGAGGAAGGCGGGGAUGACGUCAAAUCAGCACGGCCCUUACGUCCGGGGCGACACACGUGUUACAAUGGGUGGUACAGCGGGAAGCCAGGCGGCGACGCCGAGCGGAACCCGAAAUCCACUCUCAGUUCGGAUCGGAGUCUGCAACCCGACUCCGUGAAGCUGGAUUCGCUAGUAAUCGCGCAUCAGCCAUGGCGCGGUGAAUACGUUCCCGGGCCUUGCACUCACCGCCCGUCA
rnacentral:rRNA from 1 species